UUGACAUGUGCAUUGUCGUAUUAGGCUUGAGAAGACCAAUAAAAAAACACUAUAUAAAAUAACGAUGACUACAGGAAGUUGCUCUAUAAACAUUGCUUACUGGAAUAUGUACGUAUGCUACACUUUUGACGUGGAUAACGGUUUGACCAUGCUGACUGACCAUGUCGUAUCGCGGCGCCAUUGCCACAGAGUGAUCCAGCUGACGGUUUUCCUUGUUGUCGCCUACAAAAUGAAACUUCUUGCCAGGGGAAUACUGCUCCCAGACACCUAUGGGAGCAAAAAGAGUAUUUUUAAAGCAUUCCUGUGUCCAGAGACAAGAUAAGGCCUGCUCUCGGAGCCUGAGCUCUGCGACAGAAGGUGUUACAUCUGUGGGCUUUUUGGAAGCAACGCCGGAGCCCGCCGACUGCCUCCGAAGUUGCCGCGUUUUCCUCCGCUCUUCGCCGACUGCUUCGGCCAGAAGGC